UACAGAGGUGGCAAGCGUUGUUCGGAAUUACUGGGCGUAAAGGGCGCGUAGGCGGUCUUUUAAGUUCCGUGUGAAAUCCCUCGGCUCAACUGGGGAACGGCACGGGAAACUGGGAGGCUUGAGUUCGGGAGAGGGAAGCGGAAUUCCGGGUGUAGCGGUGAAAUGCGUAGAGAUCCGGAGGAACCCCUGAGGCGAAGGCGGCGUCCUGGCGCACUUCUGACGUUCAGACACGACAGCAUGGGGAGCGAACGGG
rnacentral:rRNA from 1 species